UGAAGGUUUAUUUCCAACACCAGCUGGGGAAUGCUAUAAAAAGGAAAAAAAAAAGAGUUACCCUCUUCAAAAGCAAAAAGACUCCCCAUACCUGCAGCACAAGAAAAACGAUGUUUGGGAAUGGCUGGUUUCCAGAGAAGUCUGAAUGCCUCCUGAUGCCAGGGAAGGAAUGAGAGAAAAAAACGGGCUGGCGCCCCAACUUGCACAAAAAGGCAGAACGGAGCCUUAUGGAAACUGCAAACCUCCUGCAAACCUUUGAAUAGCUAAACUAUUUGUCAGUAGUGAUCGUGCCCUCAACACCACAGCUACAGCUGGGAGGAGCGGGACACC